rnacentral:misc_RNA from 1 species
AGAUUUGAUAAUUGAGAAGGCAGGCGUGUAUGUUAGGAUUACUGGAGAAAAGAUAAGUGAGAAUGAAAGAUUUAAAAAAUAAUUUCAUUAUUUUUUACCAGCAAAUCUUCUAUUGUAGGUUACAAGGACUUUUAAGAAAACUAAAUUAAAGUUAAGGGAUUUUAUUGUGACAAAUUAAAAUUUAAAGACAAAAAUAAAAUAACCUUCUAAGUGCAGGGACAAUUGGUACAAUUUAACCAUACUUUUUUUAUGCACAUAUACGGUUGACAAGAAUGAAAUUUGUUGGAAAUGAUGAGAUUUCAUGCCUAUGUGACGUUUUAUCAUAUAAAAGAUAAAAGAAAAGAUAAUAAAGAUGUAGCCCCUUUGAG